AUGUCCCCCCUGCCCCCCGCCACAGCCACAGGGGGCUCAGCGUGUGCCCCUGCCCCUGUCCCAGCCACAGGGGGCUCAGCGUGUGCCCCCACCCCUAUCCCAACCACAGGGGGCUUGGGCAUCUUCCCACCCCCCCAUCCCAGCCACAUGGUCUCAGCAUGUCCCCCCACCCCGUCCCAGCCACAGGGGGCUCGGGGUAUCCCCCCAGCCCCCAUCCCAGCCACACGGGGCUCAGCUUGGCAGGUCACCCUCUGCUGGCACCCGGCUCGGGCCUCGAGCCGCGUGGCCAGGGAUGGGUUUUCAGUGCGUAUUUGUCUCCUGGUUUCCACUCGGGGCUCCUCAUUAGGACCUCAGCUGUGCCGACCUGCGCCUCUGCUAGCGCUGGCAGGGCCCGACGUGCGGCCGCCUGGCUCCAGAGAGGGGAAGGGGCUGAAAGGGCUGCAGAUUCUGGUCCAACUCCAAAGAAAGAGGGGCAUGAAAGAGCCUUCUUCCCCGGGCUUUUCACAUGGAAAUGAGGCCGGAAGCCCCACAGGAGGCGCUGGCCCCAGGAGCAGGGUCAGGGUGACCUCCGGCCCCCCGGGGCCCUUGGAGCCCAGACCCCCUGGAGCUCAGGCCCCCGGAGCCACCAGUGCCAAACAGGGUGACGUGAAUGUCAGGCCUGCGGCCCCGCGGCAGGCAGAGCCCCGGAUGCUCCAAUUAAUCAUCUCAGAGCCCUGGGCGCCCAGCAGCACGACCUGGAGCACGUCGGCCGGCGGCGUCCGUGCCUGGGGCAGGCUGGGCCGCGGCGAUGCCAUGAGGCUGCCGGGCAGACGCCCCCACUGGGCUGUGGGUCCUACUUCCAGAAGCUUGGAGGGCGCCAACACAGCCGUAACGGCCUUGGGUUCCAGGGGGCGGCGAGGGGAGGAGACAGAACAGGCCGCUCAAUGCAAGUGGGUGCUCUCCUCCUCCUCGGGGCCGGGGGCUGGGAAGACCCAGACCCCUUGUCUCAUGGGAGAGAGACCCACACUGCCAGGGCAGGCCUCUCUCUCUCUCUCUCUCUCUCUCUCUCUCUCUCUUUCUAUCUAUCUAUCUAUCUAUCUAUCUAUACAUAUAUAUAUAUAUACACACACACACACACACACACACACACACAUUUACUUACCUAUAUCUGUAUUUAUCUUACGCUCUGAUCAUAAGUCUGUUUGCCAGCAUUUCUCCCAAACUUUCUGUUUUGUGGAUCAUUUCCUUGCUGUGUAG
rnacentral:lncRNA from 1 species